GUAACACCUGGAAACAGAAUGCUAAUACCGGAUAACAACAGAUGAUGCCUAUCAACUGUUUAAAGUAAUGGUCUGCUAUCACUCUUGGGAUGGGACCUGCGGUGCAUUAGCUAGUUGGUAGGGGUAACGGGCCUACCAAGGCGAUGAUGCAUAGCCCGAGUUGAGAGACUGAUCGGGCCACAUUGGGACUGAGACACGGGCCCAAACUCCUACGGGAGGCAGCAGUAGGGGGAAUCUUCCACAAUGGACGCAAAGUCUGAUGGAGCAAAACGCCGCGUGAGUGAAGAAGGGUUUCGGCUCGUAAAAGCUCUGUUGUUGGUGAAGAAGGACAGGGGUAGUAACUGACCCUUUGUUUGACGGUAAAUCAAUUUAGAAAGUCACGGGCUAACUACGUGCCCAGCAGCCGCGGUAAAU
rnacentral:rRNA from 1 species